AUCAAAAAUUAGUUCACAUCAAAACAUUUUCAAACCUGCGUGAACGAACCUUUUAUGAUUUUUGUAUGCACUAUAAAACUUGGGAAAAAAGCUUCGUUUACAAUUUAUAUUUUUCUCUUUCUAAUGUUGGAAUGCCUUCACAAUAUGGAAGAUAUUAACGAUGUAACGUACCGCUUGAGAAAAAUUAUUCCGGUUACAAGAAAAGAAGAUCCCAUCUGUGCCAACAACAUAUACCUUUCUAAAAAAAAAGAGACAACGUUUGGUAGAAUUGUUUCCAGUGAUGUCCAAGAACGACUAUUAUCUAAAAAUACACCUUUAAUGAUCUCUAGAAAGCAUGCAACAAUUUUUGUUGAAGGUGGAAAUAUAAAAAUUUCUGACCACCAGAGCAUGAAUGGGGUUUACAUCAAUAAUAAAAGAAUUCGACCUGGAGUUCAACACAGCAUCAAGCAUGGUGACAAAAUAGCAUUUGGUUGUGGUGUUGAUAGUGCACCUCCAGAAUUUGAGUAUGUCGUAGAGGCUGUUUGUUCCAACCAUUUAAAAAGACAUGAUAAUUAUGAAAUUCAGGAAGAAAGACAAGGCUCUCCAUCUAAGCGACAAAAAGCAGCAGAUAUUCCAGGCAUAAUGAUAAUUGAGUCAAAUUCAGUUCACAUAAAGGAGCAGGAAGAAAAAAUUAAAAAGUUAACACAAGAACUCCAGCAAAAAGAAUAUCAUCAAAACGAAUUGUUAAAUAAGUUGCAAGAAAAAGAAAAAGGGUUAAUUGCAAAACUUGAACAACAAAAAUGUGAGCUUGAAAGAGACCGCAGUGAUGCUGAGGAAUAUCUAAAGGGCUUGUUGCAAAAACAGCUUACAGAGAAGGAGAAUUUCUUACGAUCUGAAUAUGAUGAACAGAUAAAUAACCUGCAAAGUGAAAAAGAUUUUGUAGAAAAAAAUUUGCAGGAAGAAUUAUCAAAAAAACUUAGUGAAAAAGAUAAGGCAUACCAGCAAGAGUUAGAGCAACAAAAAUCGAUGUUAGAGCAGGCAAUGCUGUCAAAGGAGCAUGAAAAAUAUGUUUUGAUUGCCGAAUUGCAAGCUAAGGAAGGUUUAAUUGAAAAAUACAAAUCUGUUGAGGAAAAUCAAAAGCAACUUGAAAGUUGUCUUCAGGAAUUAAAAAAAGAAAUCCAAGAAAAGGAAAAUCAGUUAAAAAAGCAGCAGGAAGUUACAAAAAAAGUUGAAUUAGAUGCUAAGCAGACUGUUAUUCAAACUAUGGAAGAUGAGUUUACAUGCAUAAUAUGUCAAGAGCUAUUUAUCGAAGCCACAACUUUGCCAUGUGCACACACAUUUUGUGAAGUUUGUUUGAGAUUGUGGAUGAGGAAGAAAAAAACUUGUCCUGUUUGUAGACGCCGCAUCAAAGACAAGGCGGUCCGUUCUGUAGUUUUAGAUAGCGCAGUUGAAAAGAUGAUUGACUCGAUGGAUGAUGAAACAAAACAAAGGAGAAAAGUAUUAUUAAGGGAACGCUCUGAACAGAAACGGAGGGAUGAUGCUACCGAAGGUAAAGUACCCUCCGGUAGUUCUAGAGCAAGAGUUUCUGUCUCAGGGAUAAAUCCCCAAAAUGUUAUUUACAUUUCUUGAUAUCGGGGAGUUUAAAAUUAUAUUUGCUACCCUCUUUAACUACAUUACAUUGUUCUUGUCAUUUUAUGUGUAUUGCAUGGGAUUAUAUGGAGGCAAUAUUACCAGUUAAAAAAGUUUUUCACUUAUUAAACUGAUACUGAAGAAGACCAAUAAUUACAAAUUCUGUGAAAUUGUUCACAUAUAUACAACGAAUGAUAAUUUUUAAUUCUAGAAAAUCAUGUGUAUAUAAAGAAAAAUUAAUUAAAACGGCUUUCGUAAAAGCCAACGCUUGUGACAUUUAGUAAUUGAUAAUUCAAAGAAUUGUCACUACACGAGUUAGCUUAAAAUUCAGAGCUCUUUUUAAACUUGUUCAUUAUGACUUUUUAAAGCUGUGUAUAUUAGAUAUAUAUUUAUUAAUGUUUUAUUGCAUAAAGAACAAAAAAACUUCAAACCAUACAAAAUAUUUUAUUUUCAGUAAAAGUUGUUUCUUAAAAGAUUGUUAAAAAAUUGUUGUUAAUUUCAUAUCGCCCCAGUUUUCUGUUUUUUACUAAUUUUGUAAAUCACUCCUGGUUUUUGUUGUGUACCAAAAUCAUUAUUGCCCUGGGAAGUUUGUAUAGCUGUUUUUGUAAUUUUCAAACUUAGCGCUUUUAGUGGCGUAGAGUUAAAAUAUGGUUUUAAAGCGCCCUUCCCCUAACCGUGUGGACUUAUCACAUAGAUUGUUAGCAUGUUUUGGAAUUAGUCUCCCCUGUAUUAUGUACCUGAAUUUUAAUACAUGCUCAAUUUUAUUUAUAUUUUUAAAAAUUUAAUGUUUCUUUUUCUUCAUAUAAAAUAAUGCAAAACAAAAAAAAACAAGAACAUCAUCGCAUGGCCGAGAAUGAAAUAAAUUUCAUGUCUCGAUAAUCCAGUAUCAGAAGCUCGUCGAAGAUCCUAUCCAGACGGAAUUAAAAACAUGAUUCAUCGACCUGGCGAGGAAAACGACAAUGACGUACCACAACAAGCGGGAACUGGUCGUAAUAAUCACCAAGACUCUCGCAAUCGCCGGGAAUCUAACCGAAGACGUUCUCGUUCUCGU